GUCACUCCUCAUCUUGCUUGCCGCGGCAUUGCAAACCUACCUUCGCCUGCCAUUGCUGCCUACCUUCUGCCGCAGCCCUGAUCUCCCUGGAUAUGUGAAAAGUCAACGCCACACCAUCCAAGUGGACUUCAUAGAUUAUAUGGAUGAACUGGCUUCUCUGAUUGGGGUCAAGCCCAGCAUAUGGUCCCGGUUUAUCACAGAUCCUAAGCUGGCCCAGGAGCUUUUCUUUGGGGCAUGUACUCCGUAUCAGUAUCGCUUGCAAGGGCCAGGAAAAUGGGAGGGAGCCAGGAAAGCUAUCCUGAUGCAGCAUGAACGGAUCUUGAAACCCUUGCAAACCAGGCUAGUUACUGAAUCAGACAACAAUGCCUUAGUGCCCCUUUGGUUUAAGUUAGUUGGCCUUCUUCUCCUGUUUGCUGCAAUUUGGGCUUAUUUUUGAAUCCACAGAAGUCCUAUUCUCCUAAUGCCAAUCCCAACCUACAUAGAUUUUGGCAUUACAAUUUCAUCUUUGUGCCUUUAAUAAUUUACCGAUUAAGUCUGCACAUAUAAACAGACUUUAUUUCUCUAAAAGUAGCAACAUUUUACUAUAUUAUGUGUAAGUUUCACCCAUAAAUGAUUGUUAAUAUUUCUUGUUAGGGGACAUUUUUGUGUUAUUCAUUUUAUUGAGUGUACUUUUAUUGGUGAAUGAUAAUAAAGCUCCGUCUGUUUCAUAUAUUUCUGUUAUCCUUCUAUUCAUGUAAGUCAGUUUUGCUAGAUGGGAAUGCAUUUUCUUAAAUGUAAAGCAAAGUAAUCUGCCUAAGUAUAACCCGUAUUACUUGGAACUUGCCUAGAAAUGUCACUUUCCCUGCAAUAAAAUAUUUGUAAACAGA